CUUUAGCCCGGAUAGCAGUGGAAAUCCUUUUAUUUUUUUUAAUAAAAGAUUAGCUCACUUAACUUUUAUUUCC
rnacentral:sRNA from 1 species